rnacentral:rRNA from 1 species
UACGUAGGGGGCAAGCGUUGUCCGGAUUUAUUGGGCGUAAAGAGCGUGUAGGCGGCUAGGUAGGUCCGUUGUGAAAACUCGAGGCUCAACCUCGAGACGCCGAUGGAAACCAUCUAGCUAGAGUCCGGAAGAGGAGAGUGGAAUUCCUGGUGUAGCGGUGAAAUGCGCAGAUAUCAGGAAGAACACCAGUGGCUAAGGCGGCUCUCUAGUACGGUACUGACGCUGAGACGCGAAAGCGUGGGGAGCGAACAGG